rnacentral:tRNA from 1 species
GCUAUUUUGGCAGAUAAUAUGUGCUGGAUUUAGGAUCCUGUGAAAUAGAGUAUUCUAUAAAUAGCU